GGGGCCGACAGGUUUCGACGGCGGUUUACUUCAUCCAGCUGGCAUGUCGGGAAUGCAGAGUAGCCCGUAAAAGACCUCUGCAAAACUAUAAG
rnacentral:tmRNA from 1 species